GAAAUGCGAUAAGUAAUGUGAAUUGCAGAAUUCAGUGAAUCAUCGAAUCUUUGAACGCACAUUGUGCCCGCCAGUAUUCUGGCGGGCAUGCCUGUUCGAGCGUCAUUUCAACCAUCAAGCCCCGGGCUUGUGUUGGGGACCUGCGGCUGCCGCAGGCCCUGAAAAGCAGUGGCGGGCUCGCUGUCACACCGAGCGUAGUAGCAUACAUCUCGCUCUGGGCGUGCUGCGGGUUCCGGCCGUUAAACCACCUUCGUAACCCAAGGUUGACCUCGGAUCAGGUAGGAAGAGCCGCUGAACUUAAGC
rnacentral:misc_RNA from 1 species